UACGGAGGGUGCAAGCAUUAAUCGGAUUUAUUGGGCGUAAAGGGCGCGUAGGCGGAUUGGAAAGUUGGGUGUGAAAUUCCGAGGCUCAACCUCGGAGCUGCACUCAAAACUCCCAGUCUAGAGGGAUGGCGGAGAAAACGGAAUUCCACGUGUAGCGGUGAAAUGCGUAGAUAUGUGGAGGAACACCUGUGGCGAAAGCGGUUUUCUAGCUUAUACCUGACGCUGAGGCGCGAGAGCAAGGGGAGCAAACAGG
rnacentral:rRNA from 1 species